UCUCCCCUAGCUCAGCUGGUUAGAGCGUUCGACUGUUAUUUCACUGCAAUCGAGAGGUCGACAGUUCAAUCCUGUCGGGGAGAG